rnacentral:rRNA from 1 species
AGGGUUUGAUCAUGGCUCAGGAUGAACGCUGGCGGCGUGCUUAACACAUGCAAGUCGAACGGGAUCCAUCAGGCUUUGCUUGGUGGUGAGAGUGGCGAACGGGUGAGUAAUGCGUGACCGACCUGCCCCAUACACCGGAAUAGCUCCUGGAAACGGGUGGUAAUGCCGGAUGCUCCGACUCCUCGCAUGGGGUGUCGGGAAAGAUUUCAUCGGUAUGGGAUGGGGUCGCGUCCUAUCAGGUAGUCGGCGGGGUAACGGCCCACCGAGCCUACGACGGGUAGCCGGCCUGAGAGGGCGACCGGCCACAUUGGGACUGAGAUACGGCCCAG